rnacentral:lncRNA from 1 species
CGUUCCUGCCCCAGAACUCAGUUGGGGGCUCAGAGCAGGACAGAAGCAGAAACUGCACACGGUGGAUGAAGACCUGAUCAUUGAAGUUCACCAGUUAUUUUUCUCAAGAAUGUGAAUAACAAUGGGAUUUGCACUCAUUGUAUUUUUAGAAUGGCUUCGCAUAAUUUUUAUGCAUUCUGUGGACGAUGAACACAAAUGCAGCUGUGGCCGUGCGUGGCCUGUGUGUGUUGAACGCAUUCCUGCCGUGCGGGAGCCGCCUACCCAGCGGAGCCUCAGAGUGUGAGUUCUCAGUGAGUCGACAUUUUGGGUGUGUAUGCCAAGAGGUGACAUGAAACAGAAGUUGGGAUCACUGUGGUUAACCUGAGCAUGUUGGAAACCAAGGAGAGGCUGAUGUUAAUGUUGGAUUUUUGUGAAAAAAGAUUCCUUUCAAAGAAAGACCUGUGACAAUUGGUAAUUGCAGCUAAUGUGUUUCCACAAACAGCCAUUUUGUGUUGGCAUCACACCAUCCACCAUCAGGGUUGCUGACAGGAGCAGUGUUCAGGAGUCUCAGACAGUGGAUUGUGCUGCUUCAGAGCCUGGUGGCUGGAAGGUUUGCAGGCUGCCAGGGGCCUCAGCUGAAGACCUGGACCUACAGGACCACAGAGGCAAAUUGUUCAAUUGACCGUACAGUGUGAGAAUGAAAUAUUAAUUCCCCUUCUCUACCUCAUAUGAAAAAUGUGAAUUGUCUUUUUUAAAUUUGGGAAUCUGG